UAGGUUUCUCGGUGACUUAAUUUGACUACAUAGGCAUUUCUUUUCGGUGAUAUUCAGUUCAGAUCCAGACAAGUAAGCGUGAGUGUGUGUGUGUGUGUGUGUGUGUGUGUGUGUGUGUGUGUGUUAUGAGAUUCUUAAAUUGCCAAUCUUCCACUGACUGCUUGUAGUAGAUCCCAGUUGAGUGUGGUUACCCUGAGAACUGUAGCAAUCGCCCCAUUAGAGCAUGCUGCACAGGGGAGUUCUUUACAGUCUGUUUUUAAUGCUGUUUAAUGAAGGAUCGGGCACCUCACUCUGCAAUGAGAGAAGCAGGAGAAAAGACAGAGCCUGUGAGGCUGUGAAGACUGCAGAGCAGAGGGGAAUGGAAAGACGCCCCUUGAGUGGAUGGCAAGGCCUGACAUUUUCUAAGCCAGCUCGGCAGAGACACCUUGAAUAAGAGACUGGGUAAGAAUGAUUCAGAAAUCCCGACCCACACAGAAUUCCACCCAGAACUUCAUUACCUG
rnacentral:lncRNA from 1 species